GACGAACGCUGGCGGUGUGCUUAACACAUGCCAGUCGAACGGUAAGGCCCUUUCGGGGGUACACGAGUGGCGAACGGGUGAGUAACACGUGAGUAACCUGCCCUCAUCUCUGGGAUAACAGUCGGAAACGGUUGCUAAUACUGGAUAUGAGCUUGCAAGGCAUCUUGUGGGUUGGAAAGAUUUUUUUUGGUUGGGGAUGGACUCGCGGCCUAUCAGCUUGUUGGUGAGGUAGUGGCUCACCAAGGCUUCGACGGGUAGCCGGCCUGAGAGGGCGACCGGCCACAUUGGGACUGAGAUACGGCCCAAACUCCUACGGGAGGCAGCAGUGGGGAAUACUGCACAAUGGACGGAAGUCUGAUGCAGCAACGCCGCGUGCGGGAUGACGGCCUUCGGGUUGUAAACCGCUUUCAAUUGUGACGAAGCUUUUUUGUGACGGUAGCAGUAGAAGAAGCACCGGCUAACUACGUG
rnacentral:rRNA from 1 species